rnacentral:rRNA from 1 species
CCUACGGGGGGCAGCAGUGGGGAAUAUUGGACAAUGGGGGGAACCCUGAUCCAGCCAUGCCGCGUGUGUGAAGAAGGCCCUCGGGUUGUAAAGCACUUUCAGUGAGGAAGAACGCCUGGUGGUUAAUACCCAUCAGGAAAGACAUCACUCACAGAAGAAGCACCGGCUAACUCCGUGCCAGCAGCCGCGGUAAUACGGAGGGUGCGAGCGUUAAUCGGAAUUACUGGGCGUAAAGCGCGCGUAGGUGGCUUGAUAAGCCGGUUGUGAAAGCCCCGGGCUCAACCUGGGAACGGCGUCCGGAACUGUCAAGCUAGAGUGCAGGAGAGGAAGGUAGAAUUCCCGGUGUAGCGGUGAAAUGCGUAGAGAUCGGGAGGAAUACCAGUGGCGAAGGCGGCCUUCUGGACUGACACUGACACUGAGGUGCGAAAGCGUGGGUAGCAAACAGGAUUAGAUACCCGGGUAGUC